AUUGAACGCUGGCGGCAGGCCUAACACAUGCAAGUCGAACGAGUGGCGGACGGGUGAGUAAUGUCUGUGAAACUGCCUGAUGGAGGGGGAGAACUACUGGAAACGGUAGAUAAUACCGCAUACCAUCAGAUGUUCCCAGAUGGGAUUAGCGAGUUGGUGGGGUAACGGCGCACCAGGGCGACGAUCCCUAGCUGGGCUGAGAGGAUGACCAGCCACACUGGAACUGAGACACGGUCCAGACGCCUACGGGAGUAAGCGGUGGGGAAUAUUGCACAAUUGGCGAAAGCCUGAUGCAGCCAUGCCGCGUGUAUGAGGAGGGCCUUCGGGGUGUAAAGUACUUUAAGCGGGGAGGCGUUACCCGCAGAAGAAGCACCGGCUAACUCCGUGCCAGCAGCCGCGGUAAUAC
rnacentral:rRNA from 1 species